UAAAGUAGCCCCGAGUUGGGCCAGCCCCUGCUGCCAGCGCCCCGCCCCCGGCAGCGGGCUGGAACCGGCCCCCAAAAGGCGAAAUCCCGCCUAGCCCUGCUCACCUGCCCUCCGAUCCCGAGCUUCCCCGCAGGGCCGCACUGGCAGGCUCAGCCCCACAAAAAGAGUAUCUCUUACAACCAACCAGUGCCAUCCACCUCAGGCUAAUGCCAUGAGAGACCUGCCAGUUCAAACCCUACAGGCAACUUUAGAAGACUUACAGUUCAUAGCAAGAUGAAGUCUGAAGGAACAGCGAGUCUGGAGUAAAGGGAUUAAUGUUCACAUGUGGUGUCCGUCUCAUAACAGCAUCCCGCUUUUCUGACUUCC